CGGGGGAGGCCGGAUCCUGGGCUGUGUCCCCAGUGCCCUGUGCUCCGGGGCCUGCGCUGUUGGAUUCGCGCUCCCGCCCCGCAGCCCCCU
rnacentral:pre_miRNA from 1 species